UACGAAGGGUGCAAGCGUUACUCGGAAUUACUGGGCGUAAAGGGUGCGUAGGCGGUUCGUUACGUCUGUCGUGAAAUCCCCGGGCUCAACCUGGGAAUGGCGAUGGAUACUGGGCAGCUAGAGUGUGUCAGAGGAUGGUGGAAUUCCCGGUGUAGCGGUGAAAUGCGUAGAGAUCGGGAGGAACAUCAGUGGCGAAGGCGGCCAUCUGGGACAACACUGACGCUGAAGCACGAAAGCGUGGGGAGCAAACAGG
rnacentral:rRNA from 1 species